UGAAGGCAUUAAAAUCAGACCCCUUUGACUUGAAACUAUUCCACCCAUUAUCAAACACAUUGAGUGCAUUCUUUUCAUACCCAGUUGAACUCAAAUUCAUACUAUUGCUGGUAUUACUCCAGUUAUUAAGAUCAGAAGCAACACUCGGCUUAAAACUAUUCCAUCCAUCAUUGAACCGAUUAACAUCAGAAUCAGAGACUUUAGGCUUAAAAUUAUUCAAAGAAUUUACCUCUCCACCAUUCCUUACAUCGAAAUUCCUCCUCUCCUCAGGCCUCUUCGAGACAUACGAAUUGCUCCAGAUAGAAUCGUUAAGCGAUAGGUUGGCGAGAUUCCCAGUUUGCACCCGAAGCUG
rnacentral:lncRNA from 1 species